GAUGAACGCUGGCGGCGUGCCUAAUACAUGCAAGUCGAACGAAACUUCUUUAUCACCGAGUGCUUGCACUCACCGAUAAAGGGUUGAGUGGCGAACGGGUGAGUAACACGUGGGCAGCCUGCCCAUAAGAGGGGGAGAACACUUGGAAACAGGUGCUAAUACCGCAUAACCAUAGUUACCGCAUGGUAACUAUGUAAAAGGUGGCUAUACUACCGCUUUUGGAUUGGCUCGCGGCGCAUUAGCUAGUUGGUAGGGUAAAGGCUUACCAAGGCAAUGAUGCGUAGCCGAAUUGAGAGGUUGAUCGGCCACAUUGGGACUGAGACACGGUCCAGACUCCUACGGGAGGCAGCAGUAGGGAAUCUUCCACAAUGGGCGAAAGCCUGAUGGAGCAACGCCGCGUGGGUGAAGAAGGUCUUCGGAUCGUAAAACCCUGUUGUUAGGGAAGAAAGUGUGUGAGAGUAACUGUUCACGUCUUGACGGUAUCUAACCAGAAAGCCACGGCUAACUACGUG
rnacentral:rRNA from 1 species